AACGCACGAGACCUGCGGACCUGCGGAGGGAUCAUUAUCGAGUUAGGGUCUUCACGGGCCUGACCUCCCAACCCUAUGUUUACCAAACCUAUGUUGCUUCGGCGGGCCCGUCUCACGACCGCCGGGGGACGGUAAGACGUCCUCUGGCCCGUGCCCGCCGGUGGCCAACCAUCCAAAUUCUGAUUCAAACAUGUUAACCUGUCUGAGUGUCAGUUUUUAAUUAAAGCAAAACUUUCAACA
rnacentral:misc_RNA from 1 species